UGGCAAAGCAUGCUGAAAACAGAAAAAGACGGGAAAGAUGCUUAUGAAAGACUUUGGAUGCACCUAUGAAGGUGAUGCAAGAAAAGACUUUACCAUAUAGUUUAUCAUUGAAUGACUACCGCAAACAGCCUUCUUAUGCUGAAAAGAAGUGCUAUGCUAAUUCUGGACAUUGCUAUUAUCCAGACAGAAGAUGACCGGAAAAAGAAAUAAAGGCUGAUAACUGUCAACACCCAGCUGUUUUUCAAGAUGGAACAUGGUACUGACAAAACCAGAUUGACUAUCAAAGCACCUCACAGUACAAGACACAGAUUGUUAACUACAACUCAGAAAAAGUGGUUAAUAGGAAGGAUCAGAAGAAGAGGAAUGUAGAUUUCCUACUGGAGAGAAAAACCAUCCUGGAACAAUAUUCUGCAACAAUGAACUUUACAAUGACAUUUGCUG